GCCUGAGGAGACAAGAUGGCCGCCUUCAGAGAUCCAGAACCCUGAGCCGGCCAGACUUCCUCCAGCCGACCAGAGGUUCAGGAAACCCUCCAUGACGAGACAUUAGUCCGGUCACCAGAGGUCAGGGGUCACCAGAGGUCACAGUCAAACAUCAGAAACAUUAAGAUGACCUGCAGCAGAGCGAGGAGAGUCCACCUGCAGACAUGACUCAGAGCGGUUCUGCUUCAUUUAACCCGACCACCCGGGUCGCCCGGCGCCACCGCCUCACUGAGCGCGCUCAGACAUCAGCUGGACACAACAGAACCAUCCCAAAGACCAGAACCAGAACCCUGCAGCUCUCCUCCUCAUUAGCUCUAUUUUCAGCUUUAAUAAACUGGCAGAACAUUAUGACCAGAACCAGAAAAACAAACAUGAAGAGCCAACCUAUCAGAACCAACCAACGCCGGCCCAAAUUCCCUGAAACUUUAAAGCUUUUUGCUUGGUGAGAGAACCAGAACCUGAACAGAACUAGAGCAGAACCUGAACAGAACCAGACCAGAACCAGAGAAGAACCUGAACAGAACCAGACCAGAACUAGAGCAGAACCUGAACAGAACUAGAGCAGAACCAGAACAGAACCAGAUCAGAACCAAAGGAGAACCUGAACAGAACCAGAGGAGAACCAGACCUAGAACUAGAGCAAAACCAGAGGAGAACCUGAACAGAACCAGACCAGAACCUAAACAGAACCCGCUGGUUCUGUGAAGCAGGAAGGAUCAGAAGACUUCAGGAUGUUUGGGUCGUCUGAUGAACCGUUCUGGGUCCCAGGAGUCUCAGGGUUCUGGUCCAGUAGGACCCAGAGCAGCCAGACCAGAAGAUCUGACCAUCACAGGUCCAGAUCCUGGCAGAACCACCAGGGAUUCCUCCCAGAACUCUGUGUGUGUGUGUUAGCUGCAGCUUCCUGCUGAUUAAUAUUCAGUCCAACGCUCUGACUGUCUGCUACGACAUGAUGCAGCGCUCUGCUGCACACACACUUCAUCAGGCAUGUCACAUACACACCCACACACACAGAGUCACACUCCGUCAGGCAGAGCUGCCAGUUGAACUUUGCAGAGGAAAUGUUCCUCCUUGGCGCGCCGCCCUCCCAGCCACCGGAUGGCGCCAAAUAUAAAAUGAAGAAAGGAAGAAGAAGAGUCACCAGACUGGUGUAGAAGAAGAAAGAGGAGGAAGAGGAAGCUACCAUCAGACUCUCUGUUUCCAGCAUUUUAACAAACUGCAUCCUCUAUUGGCCCACCAGAACCAGAACCAGUCUGGACUGAGUCCGGUUCUCCUCCUCCAGAUUGUUGCUGGUCUGGGUUGGUCGUCAUGGAGACAGGGCAGCAAAACCUGCUGCCGUUUCUGGUCUGGAGGAGGUCGGGUACCAGCAGCGUGGGUCCAGAGGAAGUUCUGGUCCAGAGAGACGCUGGAGGGCGAGAGAAAAUCUGGAUCUGAUUGGGAAAACCUGAAGUGGGUCCGAUAGCACCAGAGAGUAUUUAAUGCCCAUAUGGCUACAGGCUAUCAACUGUUCUUCAAUCUGUUUCAGAGUUUCCCCCAGUAAACCUGCUGAGGCGUCCGCCCUGUUUUUGUACUAAAAGAUGUUAAUUAGGCAGGAAAUGUAAAAAUAUUACUGGGUAAUUAAAUGUUACAGGAAAACAUCUCCAGUGAAACGAUAUUUAAACCAACAACUAGUCUGAAAAACAACAAAUCAAAAAAUACAAUUAAGAUGAAUAUCAAUUAUUUGCACUUUUGUUUAAUCCAAAUGAAGUCAGCGGCUCCAUCGGGCCCCCGGGGCUUCAGGGGCCAUAAAUGAUCAUAUUUUAACACAGAUA